AGGAACCUUCUUAUUCAAAACACCUUUCAAAGUCAAUGCAUAAAAAUAGCAGGCAGCUUCCACUUGCAGGCCUUUUGAAGCUGGAGAAGAGGUGUUUUUCAUGAGAAGAAACUGAGUCCCAGGAAGAUGAAAUGACUUGCUACAUCAGCCACAAGUACUCGCUCAGCAUGAACUGGGCACUGGGAGCUGGACAGCAUCGGCCAUAGAGUGGAGACCACAGUGGACACGGCCCUUCAUAAAUCCUGAGCCUCUUGGAAGGGAGUCAGAGUAGAUGCACAUAGGCCGUCUGCCAUCUUUAUAUGGAGAUGAAGAUAAACAGAGCACAGAAGAUUAAGUAAUUUUUCCAAAGAUGCAGAAAUAGAAAAUGACAGAACUUGGCUUCUUAGCCACUAUAUUCUAGCUGCCUCCAACACAUGGGAAGAUAGUAGCUUUCAGGUAACGUCUUUGCCUUUGGUCUCUGCAAUCCUUUAUGUACUACUAUUACCUCUCUAAGAAUCUUAAUUUAUUAAUCAGCAAGUGCUAUUCGGUGCCUGUUAUGUGCACAGAAUGGUUUGUUCACUGUGGAGGUAUAAAGAAAGGCGUCAGGGCUACUUCCUUCAGGAAGUUUACAUCUCUCCAAGAGAAAGCCCCCACGUAUCUGAAAAUAAGCAUAAUGGUACAGAGUAAUAUCAUCAUUCAAUAAAAUGAAAGCUUGAUUUGAUCUGGGUGCUCAGAAAGCUCAAGAAACUGAUUAAAAACAGUGACAGUUGUUUACUUAGUAAGAGUUUACUUAUUGAUAUUUCCUCCACAGAGAAAAUUAACUGGAUUGUCUAUAAGCUCAAAAGAUCUUUGUAAAAGUUUAAAGUGGGAAGAGUCAAAUUCUUGGUCACUGUGGUUUAUAGAUAAAUAGGAAGGAAGGACAGGAGGGAGAGCGGGAGGCAGGCAGCAGGCCUUUUAUCUCAACUACAUUCUUUCCUCCUCGUCAAGAUGGAUAACCGAGGAUGAGUACGUGUUAACACUGAGUGUUCUCUAUUAUUUCUGGAAUGACCAGGAGUAAACAAAAGGUUUAUAGAUGCUAUGGCAUCUUUAGAUUGGCUAGCAUGGUGGCUGACUCCUAAUAGAGACCUAUCAAAUAUUUAUUGUUCCAUGUAUUUAAUGAAUAAAAUUGAAGAAAACCUAAGGUGGAUCAUUUUAUAGACAAUGAAGAAAAAUCCUCGUGAGUUUGUAUUUUAAUUUGAAGGCAUUUUCCCAGUGCAAUGCACAUCACAUCUUAGGGAGAAAGUUGCAGUCAAUCCGUUAUCCUUAUCCAGAAGCUCCUUAGGAUUAAGGGAUGAGACUCAUUCAUAGUUUAUGACCACUCCCUUCCCAGUGCAGUACCCAGAAGGCAGUAAGUAUUUAUUUGAUGGAAAUGGUUGUUGGAUGGAAAAAUGAAUCAUUUGUCAGUAUCUGGUUUGAUGCUGAAGGAAGUCUUAAGUGCUCUGUAACCACCUGUCCUAAGGGUUGGUCCUACACAAAACUAACAGUACACAAGAGCAGUUUUUCAGGAAAAACUUGAUAAGGUAGUAGUCAGACCAUUUACUGUGAAGCCAAGCAGACCCAAAGUCUAGUCCCAUUCCUGCCACUUAGUAGCUAGCUGUAUGACCUCAGGAAAGUUGUGUAACCUCUCUAAGUCUCAAUUUCCCAGUCUUUCAGUUUGGAGCAGUGAUAGUAUUUCACAUGUUCGGUGUAAAGAUUAAGUAAGAUACUCCUCACUGUGACUAACUACACUAAGUGCUCGACCAAUGGUAAAUAAAUAGUUAUUCUACAAAGAUCUCAGGAGUUGAGGCUGUGGCCAUUUGGAUCUGUAAAGGAUCCUGACCAAAGUGCGGAAAUCUAAAACACAUAUGCUUCCUGUGUUUCUCUUUCCUUGCUUUAGGGAUUUUGAGUGACAUUUGUUUGGCUUUAUGAGUAUGUGGGAAGAGAUGGGAUGGGACAGGAGCUGGAAAUUCUUUCCACCUCUAGAGAAUGCCCUCUACCAAGGAUUUCUGCUAACAGGGCCCCAUAGGCCCACCCUAUCAGCUGAGGAUGAAAGCAGCCAGAGACAAUGGGAUAUGACACAGUAAUGAGUUCUCAUUUGUCAGGUGUCAGCUUGCCGAUAUGGUCUAAGGCUAUGGUGUUCAAUAAUUCCUAGAAAUUGGUAAUAACGAUACCAUUUACACGGCAGCUCCUCUGGCAGGUUUCAGAGCAGCUCCACAUACACUAUCUGUUUUAAUUUCCACCACAAUGCAGGAGGAACCUGAAAUAAAUAUUAUCAUUCCCAUUGUAUAGAUGAGUACAUACAUUCUAAAAAGCAAAAUGACCAUACCUGAGAUCACUCAGUUGCUCAGGCAUUGACCUCAGACUUGACCCUCACUCGGGGGUCCUUAUUUUAUUUCCAUGAAACUAAAUGGCCUGUUUCUUCUACAGAAUCUCUCUGGCAUUUUGAUUCUUAAGUGUGCUUGUAUCCAUGCUAGACCCUUAAGAAUGUGCGUUUGUAAGAUCAUUUAGUAAUCAGUUGCAGCAGCUAAAAGGGGCAGCCAGUUUUUUGAAACCUUAUGUGUCUUUUUGGACCAACAGGGAACAAAAUUAUUCAUCUUGAUACAGCAAGUCUUCAAUGAUGUCAAUAGGAAAACAGCCACAGCCAUGCUAAAGGCUUCAAGCACCACCGGUUUUGUCCAGAGGAGGCCAUGGUUAUUCUGGCGAAGUACAAGGCCGAGGUCAUUUUGAGCUGUCACUCUCUUGAGGGUCCGAGUCUAUGAAGCAGAGUAAGCUCAGGACCUACAGCACUGGACCUCUAGGAGGGCAACCUCACCAGCAGAUGAGGUCAUGAUGGAUGAUUCCUAAUUAUGGAGUCCUUUUCAUCUCUCAGUUUAUAUUCUGAGUUUCUACCUAGAAUAAAUUCUACUGUUUC
rnacentral:lncRNA from 1 species